rnacentral:lncRNA from 1 species
GGGAGAAGAAGAGGAGGAGCUAGUUUAGGGGAAGAGAUGAUGAGUUUGGGUUUUGGACAUACUGAGUUUCCUGGACAUCAAGAUGGAAGUGUGGAGGUCAGCAAAGAGGUUCGGGCAGGUGAAGAAAGAGAAAGACAGUCGUGGCAUCCUUGGAGAACCGAGCCAUGACACUGGCUUCAGAUUUGAAGAGCAGGGAGCCGUUGUAGUGGUGGUCAGAGGCGACUUUUGUUAGCUUUGAGCUUUAGAUGGCACCUGGAGCAUCGGAAGACCAAGUGAUGCUACUACAGUCAAAAAAGGCAACCUACGUCAGUGACAAGAUUUCAGUUCUGAACUUCCCCAUACUUCUUUCUGGUCUGCCAUGUUCUCUCUUCCGUUACAGGUAAACAUGUUUUUAUCUCUUCUCUGGAGUCAACUGAAAGCAUUAGGCAGGUAAGGCUUAUAUUUUAUUUUAUUAGAUCCAAGCCAGCACCAAGCACACCACUUUGAUGAUGGUAAGCAUUAUCUAAACACUCAGUCAGGUACAUGCAGAAUUUGCAGGCACAUGUGCAUCAAAUCUACAUCAUGUACAUCAUGUACAUGUAAAAGGCAUCUACACACAUGAUUCUAGAUUUGAGAUAUGUAAUCAUAUGAGUAUAUUCAAAGAAUCAACGAAUGAACAAAAGUGAAUGAAUGAUUUCUAAAGAAGUGGAAAAGUCAGUUAUUGAAACCUUACUUGAGGCUGAUCAAUGACUUCUAGUAACUGAGGAUGGAUGGACGGUGAUCCCACAUUGAAGUCUUUGCAAAUCACAAGUGAGAUGUUUGUGGUACUAAAAAGGCAUCUCAGAAGCUUAAAAGUGAUGGGAAGGCCAUCACUCUGCUGAAGUCACCCUUGAGUCCUCUCAGGUGGGAAAAGACUUUCCCCAAAAUGAGCAGAGUGCAACACGGGAACCCCUGGUCUCAGCUGUAGAGCUAACAGAUGACCAAAGAUGCGAUGACUGUGACACAUACAUAUGUGUAGGUGAUAAUAUAUUCACCUGAAAACUAGUGGACCUUGCCACCAUGUGACCAUCCCAUUUUACAGUUUGACCCAAAGUAUUUAAGAGAGUGUUUGCAUAUACACACAAACAGCAUUGAUUUCCUUAUUGAAGUCAAUUCUCUUCCUGAAAUAUAGAAACAUUGUCAAUAGAGCAGUUUCCUAAAAGUCUCUACCCUGAAUUCUGGACCUUGUUUCUUAGUAUUCCAUUGCUAAUCAG